AAUCAACGCUGGCGGCGUGCCUAACACAUGCAAGUCGAACGCGGUUAUUUCGCAAGAGAUAACUGAGUGGCGAACGGGUGAGUAACGCGUGGGUGACCUACCUUCGAGUGGGGGAUAACGUCCCGAAAGGGACGCUAAUACCGCAUAACAUCCUGCCUUUGAAUAGGCGGAGAUCAAAGCCGGGGAUCGCAAGACCUGGCGCUUGAUGAGGGGCCCGCGUCUGAUUAGCUAGUUGGUGGGGUAAUGGCUC
rnacentral:rRNA from 1 species